ensembl:snRNA U4 U4 spliceosomal RNA
AGCUUUGCGCAGAGGCAGUAUCGUAGCCAAUAAGAUUUAUCUGAGCCGCGAUUGUUGCUAAUUGAAAACUUUUCCCUAAGACUGCAUUUUUGCUUUAUCCUUUUAGGGU